GGUUCGUUCGUGUUGGCGGGCUCCCUGCUUUGAGCGGUGAACCGUCCGCGGCCGUUCCUCUUCAAGGAAUAGAUCCAGGGGCGGGCAAGCCCUGGGCGGAUAAUGGUUUCCUGUGUUGAAUGCCUUGUGAAGGCACCGCGACCCNGACGAGAUGAACAUCCGCCCGACGCCCCGUCCGGGGUGUCUGGUGGACCAUCCAAGCUGGGCCGUCGUCCACCCGCGCUCCGCCUCCGUGCGCGCGCGGCGUGGGCAAUGGCCUCUAGCUGUGCCCCGGGAUGCAGAACACUUUGGGGGCAGCCGGCCGCGAGCCGGAUGCGGCUGCCCGUUCAAGCGUUCUAUGCUAAGCACGAACGACGGUCGGCGCGCGUUGGGUCCCCGUUAGCUCGG
rnacentral:misc_RNA from 1 species